GAUGAAGAACGUAGCAAAAUGCGAUAAGUAAUGUGAAUUGCAGAAUUCAGUGAAUCAUCGAAUCUUUGAACGCACCUUGCGCCCGCCAGUAUUCUGGCGGGCAUGCCUGUUCGAGCGUCAUUUCAACCAUCAAGCCCCGGGCUUGUGUUGGGGAUCUGCGGCUGCCCGCAGGCCCUGAAAACCAGUGGCGGGCUCGCUGUCACUCCGAGCGUAGUAGCACUCGUAUCUCGCUCAGGGCGUGCCGCGGGCUCCGGCCGUUAAACCGCCUCUUUAGCACCCAAAGGUUGACCUCGGAUCAGGUAGGAGGACCCGCUGAACUUAAGCAUAUCAAUAAGCGGAGGA
rnacentral:misc_RNA from 1 species